rnacentral:rRNA from 1 species
AACGGCCGUACCAUGCAGAAUAUACCGGUUCUCGUUAGAUCACCGAAGUUAAGCAUCAUUGGGCGCGGUCAGUACUUGGGUGGGUGACCACCUGGGAACACUGCGUGCCGUU